rnacentral:rRNA from 1 species
GACGAACGCUGGCGGCGUGCCUAAUACAUGCAAGUCGAGCGAAUCGAUGGGAGCUUGCUCCCUGAGAUUAGCGGCGGACGAGUGAGUAACACGUGGGUAACCUGCCUGUAAGACUGGGAUAACUUCGGGAAACCGGAGCUAAUACCGGAUACGUUCUUUUCUCGCAUGAGGAGAGAUGGAAAGAUGGUUUCGGCUAUCACUUACAGAUGGACCCGCGGCGCAUUAGCUAGUUGGUGAGGUAACGGCUCACCAAGGCGACGAUGCGUAGCGGACCUGAGAGGGUGAUCGGCCACACUGGGACUGAGACACGGCCCAGACUCCUGCGGGAGGCAGCAGUAGGGAAUCUUCCGCAAGGGACGAAAGUCUGACGGAGCAACGCCGCGUGAGCGAAGAAGGCCUUCGGGUCGUAAAGCUCUGUUGUUAGGGAAGAACAAGUACAAGAGUAACUGCUUGUACCUUGACGGUACCUAACCAGAAAGCCACGGCUAACUACGUGCCAGCCGCCGCGGUAAGAC